GACUCUUAGCGGUGGAUCACUCGGCUCGUGCGUCGAUGAAGAACGCAGCUAGCUGCGAAAUUAAUGUGGUGCAGGACACAUUGAUCAUCGACACUUCGAACGCACUUGCGGCCCAGGUUCCUCCGGGGCUACGCCUGUCUGAGCGUCG
rnacentral:rRNA from 1 species